rnacentral:rRNA from 1 species
AACGAACGCUGGCGGCAUGCCUAACACAUGCAAGUCGAACGAUCCCUUCGGGGAUAGUGGCGCACGGGUGCGUAACGCGUGGGAACCUGCCCUUAGGUUCGGAAUAACUCAGAGAAAUUUGAGCUAAUACCGGAUAAUGUCUUCGGACCAAAGAUUUAUCGCCUUUGGAUGGGCCCGCGUUGGAUUAGCUAGUUGGUGGGGUAAAGGCCUACCAAGGCGACGAUCCAUAGCUGGUCUGAGAGGAUGAUCAGCCACACUGGGACUGAGACACGGCCCAGACUCCUACGGGAGGCAGCAGUGGGGAAUAUUGGACAAUAGGCGAAAGCCUGAUCCAGCAAUGCCGCGUGAGUGAUGAAGGCCUUAGGGUUGUAAAGCUCUUUUACCCGGGAUGAUAAUGACAGUACCGGGAGAAUAAGCCCCGGCUAACUCCGUG